rnacentral:lncRNA from 1 species
CCAACAGCGAUGGCUGCAAACCCUUGGAGGUGGCAUUGCCAAAAGCGGACGUCAAUAGAUGUAAUGCAAAAAUAGUGUCUUGUGUUCAAAAAAGGUUGGGAAAUACUGAGUGAAAGAAUAGUGCACAAACCAUAGGCACACAGCUCAAGGAAUUAUCAGGAAUUGAACAUGUCCACGUGUGCCCAACCCAGCUCUCCAGCACACCUUCCCAGCCUCAACCCAUCAUCUGGAUUCUGAGGUAAAUAAUCACCAGCUCCUGGAGGGGCUCGUGGGUAGGUAUGGAGAGAGAUGAGCAAUGGUCUACACAGAUGACAGAACAUAUCCACAUCCCUAAGGAAUUGGCUCAGGCAAUGGUGAAGAUUUGGCAAGUCCAAAAUCUGAUGGAGGAGUCUGGCGGGAUGGAGACUCCGAAAAGAGUUGCAGUUUGAGUCAAAAGGCAAGCUGUCAGUGAGCUAGGAAGAGCCGACGAUGUUGCAGUUCAAGUCCAAAGACCCUCUGCCAGCAAACUUCCCUCCUGCUCGGAGGAGCUAAAUCUUUUGUUCUAUUUAAGCCUUCACCUAAUUGGAUAAGGCCCACCUGCAUUAUGGAGCUCAUCUGCUCUACUCAAAUCUACUAAUUUGAAUGCUAAUCUCAUCCAAAAACACUGUCACAGAUACAUUCAGAAUAAUAUUUGGCCAAUAUCUCGGCCCAAUCAAGUUGACACAUAAAGUUAACCUCCACAAGGGCUGCAUCUGAAAUCCUAGAUGGGAACACUUCGGAGAGGUACCAGCAGGUUCCUCGACUCACUCCUAGGGCCCCUUGUGCUAAGGCUUUUCUGUGGCUCUCAAGCCAUUUCCAGGAAUUGAGUAGAAACUCUCUCUCUCUCUCUCUCUCUCCCCACCCAAACAAUAUUCCCUGAAAGCUAUUAAUUCCUGCAAGCAGGAGCUCAACUCAAACAAAUGUUUCUAUAAAUGGCCAGUCAGCAAUGGGCGGCUUGGGAGAUGUGGCAUCUUGUCCCUGGGGACCUUCAGUAAGAGAAUGCAAAUCAUCUGUUCCGUUGCGUCUAGCCAGGGCACCCACUGGCUUAUGCAGGAGCCUGCGCCAGAUGUUUUCCUGAGGUCUCUUCUUGCUCAAGGAUCUGAUGACACCAACUCUUCAUUUCUUCUGAAUCAACAGCUGCUGAUUUCAUUCAAAUAAUCUAAUUUGAAAUUCUGUUUCUGGAACACAGACAGCUUCAUCCGCCCAGGCAGAACAAAGGAAGUGGAACAGGGGCCUUAAUAGGAGAUAUUUUGAGUGUUUUCAGACAUAGAAGUCAACAAUCUGUUCAUUCAUAAGGGCUCUGACCUCUUGUUUUGAAGGAAAACAGGAAAAACAAGCUGGGUACAAAGAACAUAAAUAUUUUACUUUCACCCAUUCUCCAAUCUGGGCUGAAACAGGAAACAAAUGUCUCCUCUCCACCUUCCCCACCUCCAAACACAUCUGUGAGAAGCAACGUGGAGAUCAGAUGAUGGAAGUGGAUUUAAAAAGUAAUUUGCCACUUUUCAAGAAAUAUAAGUUGCAGAUGCAUCUAUUCAUUUUAGGGAGAAGAAGGGGGGUACUCUGGGAUUCUUAGGGGAGCUUUUGGGAGAGACGGCAUUGUCUCCUUCCCAUGUGGAUGUGUGGAGUCAGCCAGGAGGGAAGGAGGCAUGGUCACGGGAGAGGAGGGCAGGCAGGCUCUGACAAGUGCAUAUUGGGGUCUCGGUGGAGAUGCCCAAAGGAUCUACCCCACAGGCAGUGAGAGUCUGGAAACGCACGGUUGGAAGGCUGCACUGAGCUUCACAUCGGGGUCUGCGUGAAGCGCCCCAUCUCCUGCCCCUGGUGGCGCAGCUCGGUACUGCCUCUGCGUCUCCUCCCUGGCGGGGUGACUGCGGCAGCCCCGGAACUGCCUUACCACAAAGGCCAGAGGCACGGUCUCAUCCCAUUGCAGUUUCGGGUUCUUCUGGGAAAUUUCCAAAGGAAGGACUUUCCAAAGGACUUUCCCAAGGAAGGUCUUGGCCGGAUCAGGGAUGGUGACCGGGACAGCACAGCUGGUCCCCGCUGAGACCAAGGCAAGGGUUGGUACUGUGAGCUACUUAAAGAGGUGAGAUUAUUUAAAUCCUUUUUGUGGGGAAAAAAAACUGAGACAGGUUUUCCCAUGAUUGCAAAAAUGUCACAUCACUUUUUUAAAAUCAAAAAUUAAAUGUACAUGAUGAUAAUAUAGAGGGGAUUGCUGCCCCUUGGCACCAAAGUCAUCCAACAUGACCUGGUCCUAGAAGAGGAGGCAGCUGCCACAAGCACAGCCGCACCCACAUCCUUGCUCCAUCCCCUGUCUGGAAUCAGGAGAAGGGCUUCCUUCCACGCUGCUUCCUCCCUGGGGAUGUCUGUGCAGGAAGCCUAACUAUUCCAUUAAACCGGCAGGGGCCUUGGGAACCCGCCAUGAAUCAGGCUUGUUGUCGGUACCAGCCACGAGGAUAAAUAAUGACCCUCUUUUCAAGGAGAACACAGUUUUGCAAAGAAAACAGAUGCAUGUUGUAUUGUCAUUUGUAAAGCAAAAGGGAAAUCAAAAAUAUGCUGGAGGAAGCAGAGGAGGACUGACCAGGCUUGUGGGAGGGUGCUGAGGAAGGCUUGCAGGAGAGGGAGCUUCAGGAGAGAGGAUCAAGGGAGUCUAAGGGGAUCAGGAACUCCCUGUAAAGGCUCAGAGGACAGAAGGAAGACUGUGCAUUGGAUGCUACUGAUUCAGGAGGGUGAAAGGGAUCAUAAGAGGUGAGAUGGAAACUCAAUUUGGAGGCAGAAUGUGAAUACCCUUCAAAGGCAGACAAAGACGUUUAGACAGCAGAGCAAAGGUAGAGGCCCAUUCCCCUGAUGCAGUCAUUUGGAACACCGGGUUGAACUUCUGUCCAGCAAGGCAGAGAUGAGAGCUGAGUAACGGGACCUGGCCUGGGAACAGAGGGUCCACCUGUGGGUUCCUGAUUUCCCAGCACUAGACCAUGAGAAGUCUUGAGCAGAGAUCACCCUCAGCAUCCAGAGGUCCUCAGAAGGGCACAUCCAAUGUUGCUCAUUUAUUCACUCAUUUAUGAAUUCAUCAUUGAUACAGUAAAGCCCAGCAGACCUACAUUUCCCUUAGAGGAAUUCAAGCUGUGUGAGCUCAGUGAAGAGGAGGGAGACUAAGAGAGGAGGCAGGCACGUCCUCCCGAGAGAGAGAAACGUAGCCUCAGUGGUGAGGUGGCCCCUGCCCCGCCCCAUGCUCUGCCAGAGAGGGGCUUGGAUCUGCUGCCCCCAGCCAGGCCACCACACUCACAUUUUGCAUCUGGCUGGAUUGGGAGAAACUUCUUGUUCAAAUGCUCCUGCUGUUUUUAUAGCACAGUCCCUUGAAUACAUGCCAACUGCUUUAUCUAGACACCAAACCACGUCAAUAGACCAAACCAGGCUGAGUGAAUGUUUUAGACCUUUCAGGGGGAUCUUGACUGCUAGCACCUCUUCUCUCUCAGCCAGUUUGGGAUAUCUACAUCCAGGCAAGAAGUUUCCACAUUGUCCCCAGUGUGUGACUGACCACUUUCGGGGAUGAACAGGUGUGUGUGGCACAGUCUCAGGCCCCAACUCCACCCACGAGGGCAGUGGCCACACCCACCAGAAUGGUGCCAUCCAAGAGGUUAAUUCUUGAUCCUACAGUUUAAAAGGUGGCAACUGAUGCUUCCUAACGGGAUAUCCUUUCCUUUGCCUUCCUUCCCUUAUCCUCCAGCAUCCAACAAAGGCAGCCAGAUGGGCUCAGUGGAAAUGAUGUGGCUUCAGAGUGAGUUCUUUUUGAAAACUUCUAAAUGGCAGGGUUGGCGCUGGGCGUCACCCCCAUUCACCCAACCCCGGUACCUUAGCUGAGCCCAGAAGAGUAUCAUUUGUCAAAUUUCAGGCUUAAGCUAACAGGGCCAGAAUGAAGCUGCAGGACCCAGAAGUGCUUUAAAGACCAGAAUAGAUGCAUUUCCCUUUAAGCCCUGAAGCUCUGCUGGAGCAUCACUGUUCUGUGCGGGAGACGCGCAAGGGGAGAAGACAAGGCACACACGUGAUACCUUUAAGAGUAAACAAGCUUUAUCCCACGUAAACGGCAAUGCAGAUAUAAUAAGAAAAUUAAUAAAAUAAGCAAAUUAAAAUAAGCAAACGACAUAAUAAGCA